rnacentral:tRNA from 1 species
GCCCCUGUAGCUCAGGCGGAUAGAGCAGCGGUUUCCUAAACCGUGUGCCCCGGUUCGAGUCCGGGCAGGGGCACCA